rnacentral:rRNA from 1 species
UACGAAGGGGGCGAGCGUUGUUCGGAAUCACUGGGCGUAAAGGGCGCGUAGGCGGCCCUUCUUGUCGCGUGUAAAAGCCCCGGGCUCAACCUGGGAAUGGCGCGCGAGACGGGGGGGCUGGAGUUCGGGAGAGGAGCGUGGAAUUCCCAGUGUAGAGGUGAAAUUCGUAGAUAUUGGGAAGAACACCGGUGGCGAAGGCGGCGCUCUGGACCGAGACUGACGCUGAGGCGCGAAAGCGUGGGGAGCAAACAGG